rnacentral:rRNA from 1 species
CCUACGGGUGACAGCAGUGGGGAAUAUUGCGCAAUGGGCGAAAGCCUGACGCAGCGACGCCGCGUGAGGGAUGAAGGUCUUCGGAUCGUAAACCUCUGUCAGCAGGGAAGAACGGUCACUGUGCUAAUCAGCAGUGAAUUGACGGUACCUGCAAAGGAAGCACCGUCUAACUCCGUGCCAGCAGCCGCGGUAAUACGGAGGGUGCGAGCGUUAAUCGGAAUUACUGGGCGUAAAGCGGUCGUAGGCGGUAUGUCAAGUCAAGGGUGAAAUCCCCGCGCUCAACGUGGGAAGUGCCUUUGAAACUGGCAAACUGGAGUGUGUGAGAGGUUAGUGGAAUUCCAGGUGUAGGGGUGAAAUGCGUAGAUAUCUGGAGGAACACCAGUUGCGAAGGCGACUAACUGGCACACAACUGACGCUGAGGAGCGAAAGCGUGGGUAGCAAACAGGAUUAGAUACCCGGGUAGUC